UAAACCAAAAUAUGGAUUCCUAUGCAUAAGGUUUCAUGGUGAUCUCAGGUCUAAAGAUCACUUGCACAACUCCCACUUAGAAGAUCAUCUUUUGACAUGCAGAUAAAGCUCCAUAAGAUGUUCUCUCUUAGCAGAUCAAUUCAAUGAACUCAUUUCUUAAUGAGUACCCACAUCUUUAUAUUAGUAUCUUACACAAGUGGCUUGUGAGAUCAGCCACCCUCUUCAUCG
rnacentral:lncRNA from 1 species